UACAGAGGCCUCGAGCGUUAGUCGGAAUCACUGGGCUUAAAGCGUGUGUAGGCGGACUUCUAAGUACCUUGUGAAAUCCCACGGCUUACCCGUGGAACGGCUGGGUAUACUGGGUGUCUUGAGCCACUUAGGGGCUGCCGGAACAAAUGGUGGAGCGGUGAAAUGCGUAGAUAUUCGGAAGAACACCAGAGGCGAAGGCGACUUACUGGACACAUAUUGACGCUGAGGUGCGAAGGCGUGGGGAGCAAACAGG
rnacentral:rRNA from 1 species